GUGGUCUCUGUGGCCGUGCCGGUGCUGCGGCUCGGGGUAAAGUCGGCCGCUGCUCGCAAAGGAGCCGGGAUCGGGCCGGGGCUCCUGUGCUGUGAGCCGGUUCCCCCCUCCCAUCGGGCCGGGCGCGACGUAAGCUCUUAGCCAGGUCGGACUGCCACGUACGAGACGGCGACUUUUCCCCCUCUGGACUCUCCGCAGCGUCAGGAGUGCUGGCUUUGUUGCCCCAUUCAACAGCCCGGCAAAGCCACAGUCCCCCAUUUCUGUGCCCCUCUGCAGCGUCUGCCGAGGGACAUCCCGAACGGACCCGGCCUGCAGAUGAAAUGUGCCUGUACACACAGAAUCGGUCUCUGCACCAGGACCCCAGCACAGCCACGGGAGGGAAAGCACGGCUGGCUGCACCUCCCCUGCGACUGAGCAGAGAUUUGAAAUAGCCGAAGCUGUCAGGCGGCAACAAAAGUCUCACUGUGUGCGCUAGAAAGCUUUCUGUGCUAAAUGCACACCGAAGCAGCCUACUUGUCAUGAUUCUUCUAAUGCAGGAUUAGCAUUAGUGUCAAAGCUUGUUAAUGCGAUACAGAAAUUAUGCAGUGAAUAUAUAUUUCCCAAGCUCAGUUUGGGUGUGUUGCGAUACUGAAAAGGUGGGCGGGAAGAGCGGCUGUCAGUUCUGCUGCUGCUGCUGAACACAAUCACUGCGGGGUCUGGGCUGGCCUACCUUCCUAGGAGAACUCUGGGGAGAGAGACACAACGUUGAAAGGGAUGAAAUAUUGGCGCUGCAAUUAUUAUUUCUAUGUAUCUAUUUCUGAUCCAUCUGUGGGGUAAUUACUCUGGGUUGUAUUUUGUUACUUCAGGCAGUAAGUUAAGUGUAUCACCUUUGGGAAAAAAACCAAACUAAAAAAACCUCUCCAAUAGGUGAGUCUGAGCAGGUUUAUUCUAGAGCACCAUCUUUCAUUAUUAUGAAUUCCACUGAAAUAAUUACAGUCAUCUUCUACCCAACCCUCAUCCCCCAAGCCCAAGAACUUUGUUGGUUUUUUUUAAAGCAAGUAUCUCUACCUCCACACAUCACUUUUCGGGUCAAAAAAAAAAAAAAUAAAUAAAAAUGAUAGGUUUCAGGUUAACAACAGCCAAACCUGAUGUUUAGAACAACAGCUGUUGUUCCAGUAGCUGCCAGAAGUACCCCCCAAUCUCUCCUGUCGUGUGGUUUGACUUGUUCUCCCUCUCAGGCAGUCUCACACUGCUGAGCUGCACAUGGCCCCUGUGCUGAGAAGCUCUGAGCAGGUACCUGAAGGUAAGUUCCAGAUAAACACCAGACUCACAUUACCCCAGUUUAUUGUCAUUUGCCUUGAAGGGCACUUAAACGUUUCAGUAAGUGUAAAAUUGCAACACUCUAACUGCUAACUCAUUAAGCAUCAGAAUAAACAGCUGCUUACUUUAA